rnacentral:tRNA from 1 species
AAACAUAUCCUAUAUAUUAAUACAUAUCAUUUAUAAAAACAUAGAUAAAUAUACCACAUAUUUGUUUA